UAUCUCUUCUCCUCUUCCAUCCCUCAGCUCCGCCACCACCGUCUUUCUCCACCUCUUUUCCGCGGGACUUAAUGAUGAUCAGGUGGAAGAUAUCAAAUCUCUACUAGUUACUCUGUCCAAAUGAUUUUUCUUGUUAGAUUCAUAAACUUCUGUUAUAUUUGGUAAUGGUGGUGGUGGUGGUGGAGGUGGCGGCGGUGGAGAAGGAUAUUAGAUCUCUGUUCUAGUCAUUGACGGUGGUGGUGGUGAUGAAAUUCAGAGAAGAGAGAUGAGUGACGGCUUCAGGUCAAGAAGAGAGAUCGAUGGUUUUGAUAUGAGGAUUCAUGAAACAAAGAAAGAAGAGAGAUCGAUGGUGUUGAUGAUGGUUUCUACAAGGACUGGAGUCGUGACUUCUCUUGUGGCAAAAAAAGAUUCAAAAGUACAUAAGAGAUGAUCAAUUUCCUUUUCGGGUUGCAUUUGUUGUUGUUUUUCCAGUUCUUGAUCCUUACAAAUUAUAUGAUAUCUAUCAAGAUGAACUUGUGGUGCAAUGGUGACACAACUGACUCUACAUCAGAAAAUGCGUGUUCGAUUCACAUCAGGUUCACUAAUUUUAGUACAUUAAUUUUUUGGAUCAACUUUGGGUGUUGACACCAGAUCUUGGGAUCAACUUCGGUUGUUGAUACCAGAUUUUGGGAUCAACUUUGGUUGUUGACGCCAUAUUAUUUUUUUUUCUUUAUUUUUCUUAUUUUCUGAUUUUUGUUUUGGGGAUCAAUUUCGGUUGUUGACACCAGAUUUUGGGAUCAACUUCGAUUGUUGACGCCAUAUAUUUAUUUUCUGAUUUUUUUUGGGGGAUCAACUUCGAUUGUUGACAUCAGGUUUUGGGAUCAACUUCGAUUGUUAACAUCAGACUUUGAGAUCAGCUUCGGUUGUUGACGCCAUAUGACCUUUUUAUGAUUUUUUUAUUUUUGUUUUGGGAUCUAACUUCAGUUGUUGACAACAGAUUUUGGGAUCAACUUCGGUUGUUGACGUUAUAUAAUUAUUUUCUAAUUUUUGCUUGGGGAUCAACUUCAGUUGUUUACACCACUGGUGGUGGUGGUGACGGGCGGUG